AUCCCUAACCUUUAACGUCUAAUAUUCGUUAAUUUAUUACUAGUUAUUAUUAUUACAUUCAAGUUUCAUUUUUUUAAAUCCAUAAUUUUAUUGCGCGAAAUGAAUAGGUCAACAUGUCUGUGAUUUGGUCUUGCACUAUUUCACAACUGGCAAAGCUGGCAUAGUUCACUUUAACCUCUGCCUCCACAGCGGGGAGUUAUUUAACCAAGUUCCUGGAUGUAGUCAAUGGUGCGGAGGAAGCACUGGUCCGAAACGAGGGAAUACCUCAGAGGAGUGGCACAGAGAAAGAGCCCAUUCAAAGUUGGAAUGACAAAUAGCUGCUGGAUGAGGGAAUUGUGCUGCUGGGCCUCAAUGUGGAACUGUCUCUCCAGGCCCUGCUGAACCUCAUCACGCUGCGACCCUUUCUGACUCAUAUGACCGAGCAUAGCCUGCCACUGUGUCUGCUGCUUCUGUUACAGGUAGAAGGUCAGAGGGUGGAGAUCUGAGAUUUCAAAGCUUUGACCUCUGUGCUCAACACAUUGUUCCUGGCUUUGGAGCCUUCUAGUUUCUUCUUUACAUCUGAAUUUUCCCCAAGAAGCACUUCAUAGUCCAUGACCUCCCAUUCUCAUGAUCUCCUCCUCCAGGCUGUAGUCACCCAGCUGCUUCCUCUGAGAUGUCUGGCUCAGUUGUUGUUCCAGAUCUCGC